rnacentral:rRNA from 1 species
GCUCAAAUUUGAAAUCUUCAAGGUUUUACCUUGACGAAUUGUAGUUUAAAGAAGUGUUUUCUGUUGGUGUUUUGGUAAAAGUUCUUUGGAAUAGGACAUCAUAGAGGGUGAGAAUCCCGUAUUUGACCAUUACUUCCAGCGUUGUGAUACACUUUCAAAGAGUCGGAUUGUUUGGGAAUGCAGUCCAAAAUGGGUGGUAAAUUUCAUCUAAAGCUAAAUAUUGGCGAGAGACCGAUAGCGAACAAGUACCGUGAGGGAAAGAUGAAAAGAACUUUGAAAAGAGAGUUAAACAGUACGUGAAAUUGUCAAAAGGGAAGCGUUUGACACCAGUG